CAAUAGCGUAUAUUAAAGUUGUUGCGGUUAAAAAGCUCGUAGUUGGAGUUCUGCCAGGUGCCGCCUGUCCGCCCCAGUGGUGAGUACGUGGCGCGCAUUUGGCCCUUUCAAGGGGAGCGUAUCUGCACUUUAUUGUGUGGUGCGGGAUCCUUGACUUUUACUUUGAGGAAAUAGGAGUGUUCCAAGCAGGCUCUCGUCGUGCACAGCUCAGCAUGGAAUAAUAGCAUUGGACCUCGAUUCUAAGCUGUUGGUUGCCAGAAGCGAGGUAAUGAUGAAGAGGGAUAGUUGGGGGCAUUCGUAUUUAACUGUCAGAGGUGAAAGUCUUGGAUUUGUUAAAGACGGACUACUGCGAAAGCAUCUGCCAUGGAUGUUUUCAUUGA
rnacentral:rRNA from 1 species